rnacentral:lncRNA from 1 species
ACGUGAUCUGCACGGGCGCAGAUGUAGGCACCGGUCCGAGUGCCUGCCCUCUGUCCCCGCGGCUGGGUCUCGUCUGCUCCGGUUCCUGGGCUCCUAAUUCUUGGUCCAGCUUCUUCCAGUCUGCGCGUCUGUUGUUCCCAGCGCUCUGCGAAGCCUGAAAAGGAGGAGCAACCUGUCCAGAAUCCCCGCAGGUCCGUGAAAGUACGGGGCUGCAUGGACAGGGGCCCACAAGGGUUGAGAGUGUGGAGGGCCCGGCCAGGGCCGAAUUGGGGCCUUUCCCAUUCCCCCACCCACAUGAACACACACCUUACCAGGCUGAACCAGUGCAGAGAAAGUGGCAGAGCCUGUCAGGCAAUGGCUGGCUCACGUGUGUGGGAGGAGUGGCGGGCUACGUGGUGGGC